rnacentral:rRNA from 1 species
UACAUAGAAUGCAAGUGUUAUCCGGAAUCACUGGGCGUAAAGCGUCUGUAGGUGGUUUAAUAAGUCAACUGUUAAAUCUUGAAGCUUAACUUCAAAAUCGCAGUCGAAACUAUUAGACUAGAGUAUAGUAGGGGUAAAGGGAAUUUCCAGUGGAGCGGUGAAAUGCGUAGAGAUUGGAAAGAACACCGAUGGCGAAGGCACUUUACUGGGCUAUUACUGACACUCAGAGACGAAAGCUAGGGUAGCAAAUGGG